rnacentral:rRNA from 1 species
UGAGGAACAUGACCUUCGGCGGGGGAGUAGCCGGCCCAACGGCCGGGUAAUACCGCGUACGACCACAUGGGGACAUCCCUGAGUGGUGAAAGCAGCAAUGCGCCGAUGGGGUGCCUCGCGGCCUAUCAGCUAGUUGGUGUGGGUAAUGGCCCACCAAGGCGACGAUGCGUAGCCGACCUGAGAGGGUGAUCGGCCACAUUGGAACUGAGACACGGUCCAGACUCCUACGGGAGCAG